GUCUGUAUGAAGAUAUAUAGAGUCUAACCUGCCCGUUGAAAAAUUUUGAAAGGCCGCGGUAUAUUAACUGUGCAAAGGUAGCAUAAUCAUUAGUUUUUUAAUUGAAGGCUUGUAUGAAGGGUUGGACAAAGAAAAAUCUGUCUUCUAUUUUUAUUUUUGAAUUUUACUUUUAAGUGAAAAGGCUUAAUUAAUUUAAAGGGACGAUAAGACCCUAUAAAUCUUUAUAUUAAUUUAUUUUUAAAUAACUAAUUUUGUAAAAUGAUUUAUAAAAAUAAAAAAUAUUUUGUUGGGGCGAUGAGAAUAUAAAUAUAACUGUUUUAAAAUGUAAACAAAGUUAUUUGUUAAAAUUUAAAGAUCCUUUAUAAAGAUUAGAAGUUUAAGUUACUUUAGGGAUAACAGCGUUAUUUUUUUUGAGAGUUCUUAUCGAAAAGAAAGUUUGCGACCUCGAUGUUGAAUUAAAAUAUCUUUAUGGUGUAGCUGCUAUAGUAAGAGAGUCUGUUCGACUUUUAAAUUUUU
rnacentral:rRNA from 1 species